ensembl:lncRNA
CAGCAAGUUAGGUGGGACUAGGAGUUGAGGAGGAUUCUGGGAAAUGUAGUAAAAAGAAGUCUUGUGAUACAGGCAGGAAGUGACAUAGCAGGCAGACUCAUGUAAGCAAGGACAAGAAGGAAGUUGCUCUCUCUCGCUCUUCCUCUUCCUCUCUGUGGAGUCGCCAUGUAACCACCAGGAAGACAAGACACAAGGCCUGCUUCCACCAUAAGCUUCCAGAGCCUGACUCCUCCUGACCUCAGAGUGCAGCCAUGGGAAUGCAAGUUAGGAGGACGGUGUUCUCAGAGCUUCAUCCAGUGGCUGAUGGAAGCAGAAGCAGACGCCCACAGCUAAACACUGAGCUGAACUCUGGAAUUCAGUUGCAGCGACGGAGGAAUGAUGAACAAAGGGGUCAAGACCAGGCUGGAGAAACCCACAGAAACAGCUGGCCUGAACAAGGGUUACUCAUGGGCCCCAGAUUGAUAACUGGGAAACCAGCAUAGGACUGAUCCAGACCCUAUGACAAGGAUGUAAACUGAAUGUAUGUUCCCUAUUCAGCUAAAUGAAGACACUCUUCCCUGUGCCACAGGAAGACUCCUUGAAUUUCUGUAUGGAUUCCCACUCCUAUCCAAUACCACCCUUUGCAAAGAGCUCCCUUUCAACAUAUGGUGCUGGCACACAAAGACACAUGGAAGCCCAGAGACUCAUCUAGCUAACUGCUACCUCUGUGGGUCUGUUUCUGAGCCCAGUGAAUUUCCUGAGGCCAACAUUGCCUUUACCAUGACUUUCCAAACAAUUCCAAAGCAUAGUGCUAAGGCCAUCUACUGAGAAGAGAAGGAAAUACUUCAGAAAAACGAUGAAGGUCGGGGCAAAAUUAAUAAGGGGAAUUUUACAAGGGUAACAGAAGGAAAAACCUUUUUUACAGGACAAGGUGUGAUUUCUGGAGGUGAAGGAUGUGAUUCCUGAAGCGCCCUUUCCUUCUCAGCUCCUAGGAACAGAAAAGACCAUCUGUCCGAUGUUUUGUUAUGUUUUCUUUGCUACGGGCUUUCAGUGUUCAGAAAAAAAAUCUCCUGGUCACUACACUUUGUCAUCAAGUGAGAGAGCACACACAGCACCAAGAACAUCACUCCUUGAUGAUGAAAAACCAAGGAAUAAGAGUUCAAAAGCCUGCCUCAAAGCCACAGGAAAGGCAGUUACAGAAGCGGGCUUCUUGACUCUGCUAUCCACAAAGUCAACACAAACAGUCUAGAUUUGUUAUCUCCUCCCUUCUCCGAGGCUGAGUGACAAACUGAGAUACUGUCAUGAGAGCACAGGAAGUCCAUUCCCCAGGCCAGCUGUGAGAGGGCAGCUGAGCAGGAGGCCAGAAAGCAAGUCAGCACAGAGUUCUUCCCACCUCCGCUCCGUCUGACCCCUCCAUGUGGCCCAGAGUCCGCCAAUACCCAGAAGAGGCACUGCUAAGGCUGUGGGAGGGCGCCAGCAGCGGUGAAGUUCACUGAACCGGUCACUUUCUGAGCAUCUUUUAGCAAAGAAAAGGCUGGGGCUCAAGGGGGAUGGUGUGACUCGUCUACUGACAUUUCGGAUUAUUUCAUUUGGUAACUCACAGAUAACUUAUAUCGUUAUUUAUAAACUCUGUUUAUAAACCGUACAAAUGUUCCAGGAAUCCUUUCUGACACAGGACUAAGUUCAGUCAAUCCAGUUCUUUGAAACAUGUUAACACAGUUCUCAAGGAAUGCCAGCUAGUCACGUGUCACAUUCGAAGCUUCAAAUGUUCAAAGUGAAGAAAAGUUGUAUCCAAACAGGUUCAGUAUGAAAACGGGCCAUAUAAGGAAGAACUAUUUCUACGGAAAACCACACCCACGGCUGAACUCCCUGUUAUAACAGCCAAGACAGUAUAAGUGUACAAAGUGCACUGAUGCAACUGUGGACCACAAACUUGGAUUUAUUUGUAUUCACUGUGAAUACAACAGCAACAAUGACUGGUGUAGUGGCAUGCUUCUCCUGCAAAUGGAAUUUCACUGUCUUCCUGUAGACAUACCUCUCUUUCAUUGUGAGUCUCUAAAUGCAAACAGAUAAUCUCUAACAAAAUCAGGAAAAAAAAGAAAUCCAUCAGUCAUAAGACAAUAAACAUCUCAAAGUACAAUCCAUCGUUUCUCAGCAACUACUAAACUGUGAGCAACAAUACUUUUAAAAGAUUUGAGUCAUCAAAAUAGGUUGUACAAUGGGAUGAUUUUAUAAAUUAAAAUUUAUAAAAAUGUAAGACUGUUUAUAUUUAAAUUGAUUGGAAUAUGUAUAGUAUGUGAAAAUCAGAGAGAUCCUAUAAUAUGUUUCUUUCUUGACUCUUGGUGUACAUAAGGUGUGAAGAAUCUAAUUUCUAGAAAGGCAUACUGUGACUUCUUAGAAAAUAUUUUUGUCAGAUUUUUGAAAAUUCUAGAGUGACUUCUACUAUGCUUUUCAUGGAAAAUAGAUCCUGUUCUCAAUAUUAGGCAUUUAUAAAACAAAAAACAUCAUUACAGAUAAGAAUGGUUUCACAUCUUUACAAAUGUCUAAUCGUUGACAAAGAAAUCAGAAGCUGGCCGGUCUUAUCUGGAGAGCACCCCAAAGAGUGAAAAGCUGCAAACUGGUCUUUCUGAGGAGCGAAGACCACUUUUAUGGUGGCAAAUGCUCUCGACGGGGUUCCUAAAUCAAGAAACUGGAGAAGAAGUGCUGUGUCAUCAGAAUUCCAAAAUUUGGGUCUCUGUGUGUGCAAGCAUGGACCCAAAGCCGCAAAGAGCAGACGAAAGCAACCGCUACCUGUAGACUCAACUGAGCCAUUUGAUCAACACUUUAGAAACCGCCCCAUGAAUACUCUAAAGUCAUUUUCCUUUCAAAAACAGGGAAAAACAGAUAAGGGGCAUCUGCAGCAUCAAGCAGAUUGGAAAAUGAAAAGUUCAAAGAAGAAGGAAAAAAAAAAUACUGACGAAAGCCGAGUUUAGUUGUUAAAUCAUCCAACUUGCUUUGCCAAAUUUUGACAUGCUUGGUUUCUUGUAGUUAAAAUAUAAAUAUCCUCUCUCUCUCUCUCUCUCUCUCUCUCUCUCUCUCUCUCUCUCUCUCUCUCUCUCUCCCUCCCUCCCUCUCUCUCUCUCUCCUUUGAAAAAAAGUGAGGAAAAUAAGCAGCUGUUCCUUGUAUAGUUCAGGAAACAAGUUUGAUUUAUUACUUUAAGGUUAUUUUUGAAUGAGCUGCUUGUGGCAGGCAGAGCGCAGAAGUCACUGAGGCCUGUCCACUUGAAGGGCUCAAACUGUUUCCUGAACAGCCCUCCUUCUCGCCUCACCUCCGAGGGCUAUUAUUGACAACGUGUGACUGGGGCCUUCCAGGAUUUUAAAACAGCAGGGGUCCCGGCUGAACAAUCGGGCUGUCAAUUACCUUUUCCCCUGUGGUGAAAGAGGGGCCCAGGACAAUGCAACUUCUCAGCAGGGAGCCGUGCAGCCCAUAGUUUGUAACCCACUCUUGCACAGCUCCGCAUUGAAAACCCAGUAAAUGGUUGGUGCCUUCACUUUUGUCUGUGUGUGUCAGUUCAAACCAGAAUUGCUGCAAGGUGUAGGCAUCUCCAUGGAUGGGUUUUCAAGGUCUCGCCAGGGCAAACAGAUUCUGGACAAUGUUAUCUCGGAACUUCGAAGUUUUCUUUUUGGUCCACACAGACACAAAGAGCCUCCCGGCUGCCGGCCCAGUGCUGCCGGCUCGUCCGGCCACAACACCCAGGCCUCUCUACCUAUAUUGUGGCUUAAAAAACUUCCUGUGAGCAUUGAUGACUUGCUGUGAGGACUGUCCAUCAUCCUGCCCCUUUGUCUGGCAGUCACUUCCAUUCGAAUUUGACUGACUGAGGCAGCCUGAGUCAUUUGUAAAGAACAACAAGGCUUUUCAUUCAUAAUUUUAGUAGGGGGACGGGGUGCUAAUGACUGGGCUUGAAUAACUAGGGAACGAGGUAUUCACGGCAGGAAGAUGCACCAUCGGCUGCCAAAGAGGAUGGAGAAGAUGCGGGCAAGGUGCAUGGGUAAAAAGCCAGUGGCCGGAGGAUCACAUGUGUAUACAAAUACAAAUCACGGUUUUAUUAAAGCCUUCAUCCAGCAGCUGGUGGAAGUAGAAGCAGACACCCACAACUUAUCACUGAACUGAACUGGAAUCCAGUUGCCAAGAAGGAGGAGUGAUGAGCAAAGGGGUCCAGACCAGGCUGGUGAAACCCAAAGAAACAGCUGACCUGAACAACGGGGAGCUCUUGGUCCCCAGACUGAUAGCUGGGAAACCAGCAUGGGACUGAUCCAGACCCCAGGAACAUGGGUUUCAGUGAGGAGACCUCAGAAAUCCAUGGGGCCUCCUGUAGUAGAUCAGUACUUAUCCCUAGCAUUGGG